AAAUUCGAUCUAACAUCGACAUCUUCGUCGUAGACAACAUCAAAACCAUCCGACGGCACGGGCAUCACCAAGAACGACCAAGACCCUCUGAAAUUACCAUCAACCACCAUAAUAAGCAAUUUACAGCGGCGGCGACGGCGGCAAUCAAGCCCAAAUCGGUCUCGAUAGCAGGUUACGACAUAAUCAAGCAAUCCGUGGGAAAGGCCGUCUCCUCUACACACAACAGUUCGGCGGAACGCGGCGCCGCCAUAUUUAAACAGUGUGUAGUUAAAGUGAGCAAUGUAAUUUUAUAAUUUUCCCCUUAUUUUCGUCACAAAUUACCAGGCAGCGAGUUUUAACGGUCUACAUUUUAGUUCAAUGGUGGCGCUGUCCGGGUUAACAAUGCCUGGACUCCGGUCUGACAGUGAGAAAAUCCGGGGUUUUCCCGUACGGGAAAUCCGGGACGUCUGUGGGUUCGUCCGGCUGGUGCGAACGUGUGUGGAGUGUGUGUGAGAGGCGCUAAGGCUGCCCAUGGAUCGACAGGGUCAAGAGGGGUGGUGGAGAGGAGGUAAAGGAGUCCGGUUGUUUUUCGAGACGUCAGGAUUCUGUUUUGAUCAAUUGGGGUGAUUUCUGAUGAAUUCAGGAAGUCUGCAUGAACGAGAUGAUCAAGGAAUCUUAAAAGAUAACUCCAUAUUAUUUCCUUGCAGAAGAUGAAGGUGAUCCACAUCUGAAGAUGACGAGUUGGUAUGGAGUAUCAGCAAAAUGAAGAAUUUGGUAGAAUUUUCACGUAGCAGUUCAUUCAUAUAUAUUUAAUUUUAUUAUGAUUUAGUUUAAAUUGAUA